rnacentral:lncRNA from 1 species
AAGUCCGACUUCUUUUAAAAGAAGAACAGCUGCAGAAGGGGGAGGAGGGGAAUGGAGGCAAAAAGUCUUCCACGGAGAGGGUUGAAACCCCGUUGCGCUCUCGGAAAUGAUUUGUGCAUUUGUGUCUCUUUUUGUUCAACACGAUCUUUCUUGGACUCAUUUUCAACCCACUCCUUGCGUGUGCGGAGACGACUCUGAAGUCACAGAGCCACCUGGCAGCCGGGUCUUGUGGAUUUCCGACACGGGGCCAGCCAGGGAGGGAAAAGUGCCUCUGUCUUCCCCAGCGACCCGCCGCAGGGACUCAGGCGAGGGUCCGCGGCUGGAGGCUCGGUGGAAACCGAUGAGUCUUUGUGCCUCUCGGCUGCCUGCGAAGAGACCCGCGCGGCAGAAAGGCAUCCUGGGCCGGAGAAGCCCGUGCAAAAUGCGGCUGCUAGGAGCCGCGCAGAGCUUGCCCGCCCCGCUGGCCAGCCGCGCUGACCAGGAAAAGGCCGUGCAAGGUAAGGCUGUGCCUAUCAGGCACUUGCAAAGAGCGCUGGGCUCUGGUUUGGAUGUUUUAUGUUUGGGGGGCCAGGGGCCUGAGGCUUGUCAAGUUGGAGAGCAGGGAAGGAGAGGGGACAACUCUGAGGCCUGGUGCCUCAAAGGAGCUCUGAACAUCUCGCCAGGGGCUGUCUCUCCCUCUCUCCUUCUUUCUCUCUCUCCCUGCUUCCAGAAAAUGCAGAGGCCCAGUUUGGCUUGGGAACUCUUAGGUUCUCAGUGUCGUUAGGUAGUUUAACUGCUGCUUUCGGCGGCCUUGGGUGUGCUGUGAAGAGGGCCGGUGGGUGAGGAACAGCAGGUACCUGUCCUUUUAGACCUUUGUACAACAACUUGAUGAAGAUGAGAAACCCAAAGGCUGGUGAAUGGGGGUCUCCAGGCAGGGUGAGCCCUAGCCUUUCCUCCUUGGAAGAUUUCUUUAUAGGCAGUGUUUGCUAUCUUUUUAAAAUUGUGUGUUACUUGUGACUUUUUAAACCCAAGCUUUACAGAAAACAUUUCCCUGGGAUUCCCCCAAAGCUCCUUAUUGUGUUUGAAAUGUAUGAAAUGUGUGGCUGCUGGGUACUGUUUUUUCCUCUGCUGUUAUUUUUUAAAAAGAGUUGAGCAAUGGAGAGAUAUGGGAGAGGGUUUAUUCAUUAAAAAUUCCAGAACUAUCGUUUUGUCCCGAACCUGUUACAGUCAAAUUUCGCCUUGAGCUGGACGCAGGGAUUCCCCCAAAGCUCCUUAUUGUGUUUGAAAUGUAUGAAAUGUGUGGCUGCUGGGUACUGUUUUUUCCUCUGCUGUUAUUUUUUAAAAAGAGUUGAGCAAUGGAGAGAUAUGGGAGAGGGUUUAUUCAUUAAAAAUUCCAGAACUAUCGUUUUGUCCCGAACCUGUUACAGUCAAAUUUCGCCUUGAGCUGGACGCAGCAGUGCCACAACGCUGCUGAGAAGACAGGAGUGGACUGCGGAGAAAUGACCGUUUAAAAUAAAACUGACUUUUUUCCUUUCUUUUUUUAGCCUGCAGUGGCACCUGUGUCAGGCGCUUCCUCGAAGGGAAGGAACGGCCUGUGCCUCUUGUACCCCCUUCUGUCCCCCACCCCAGGCCUUUCCCGGCACAUUUUCACUAGGAUGAUUUUAUUCCGCCUUUUGUGCUAGGACUCCUGCCCCCUCCGGAGGUGGGCUUUGGGGGCUAGGUCAAGCUCAGGGCCACUUCGCCCCGCGGGGAGCGCCCCUCUUGCUAGCCUGCGGCACCCCUGUGGUGGAGCAGCGGGCAGAGAUGCACAGAGUUUUCAGGGUGAUGGUGAUCUUUUUUAAGUUGUUGAAUGAUUUUGGAUUCUCCUCUGCCUCAGAACGGGAAGAAAAAAAAGUGGGAGUGAGCAAGGGGGGAAGAAAAAGGAAAGAGGAAGGAAGGGAAGAGGGGGAAGGGAAUUCACGCAAAAAGAGAAAGGAAGAAAAGGCGAGAGAAGGCGGAAGAUGAGGAAAAGAAGAGAGGGGAGAAAAAUGAAAGCGGGAAUGAGAGAAAUAGGUAAGAGAAGGAAUAAAGGAAAUAAAGGGCAGAGUGAGAGGGAAAGGAGGGAGGGAGGGGGGAAAGAAACGGGGGAAAAGAGGGAGAGAAAAAAGAGAAAAAGAAGAAGAGAAAGAAAAAGAGCAAGAAAAGUGGGGAAGGGGUC